UACCUACGGGGGGCAGCAGUGAGGAAUAUUGGUCAAUGGGCGGGAGCCUGAACCAGCCAAGCCGCGUGAGGGAAGAAGGUACAGCGUAUCGUAAACCUCUUUUGUCAGGGAACAAAGGCGGGGACUAGUCCCCGGAUGAGGGUACCUGAAGAAAAAGCAUCGGCUAACUACGUGCCAGCAGCCGCGGUAAUACGGAGGUGGCAAGCGUUAUCCGGAUUUAUUGGGCGGAAAGGGAACGCAGGCGGUCUUUUAAGGCUGAUGUGAAAGCCUUCGGCUUAAACGGAGGAGGGGAUUGGAAAAUGGGG
rnacentral:rRNA from 1 species